ensembl:lncRNA
GCAAUGGAGGGGAAGACUCCUAGGAUGCUGUGUCAGAUGUCUUUUGUACCUUUAGUGCUUCUGCAGAGGGAAGAGUGUAAACACUGCUCUGGGGAGCGGAGGAGGCUAUAAGGAAAUGAACAGUAAAGACAGAGAAGCAAGAUGGCAGCGGUGGAAAGGGAGCAGAGACGGCCUUGGUGGUGCAGAGGAGAAUCAGGGAGCCUGCUCUUUGCCUAUGAAGAGUAGAAGACAGUAGUAGCAUCCAGAUGAUUGUGUCCAAACCCAGCAACAACAGACUACACAGCUCCUGACUACUGCCAAAUGCCCACAGGGCCCUCUGUUUGGGUGAGGUGUCCAUACUGAAAACACAUGUGACCAGAUCAAUCAAGAGCAGCAAUGGAAAUACUGCAGUAACGGCGGCCAUGACUGUUCCUUGUUGGGCUCUUCUCAGAAAGAAAAGAAAACAACAAAACAAUCAAAGGAGAAAAGCAAAUGGUAAAGGAAUUAAAAUGUUGAUUUUCUAAAAAUAAAAAAGUUUUAAUUUUCACUCAGUGUGUCAAACAGCCGAGGUUACCCGUGCUAUGGAGGGCUCGGAUGUGAGGGGUUUGAUUGGUGGUGCUGCCUGGGGUCUCACAUCAACCACUCAGCACACUCUAUGGUGUUUGGCUGUUUUGCCAUUGCAUUUGAGCUUGCAUACAUG